CACUUAAAACAUUGUAAGCUUGUAACUAGAAAACAAGUGGUUGGUUUAAAUUGGCCAUAAGCAGCAAAGAGUUCACAUAUGCUCCAAUCAUUCACUAAUCACUAUCCACCAGAAAUCACUAUAUAACAUUAUCAAGUUCUCAGCGAGAUCCUUCCAGCCUGAAUCCUAUUGAGGAGCUGACAAAAUGGCCGGAGUUUCCAUUCCAUCGGCAGAUGUAUUGCUAUCAAGGCGUGUCCAGGAAAUGGUUCUCAAAGGUGAAGAGCCACCACCACUCUAUAUUUGCAGAGACGGUGAUACUGAAGAUGUUUCUUCUGCCUUAGCUUCAAUCCCUGUCAUCGACCUCAGUCUCCUCUCAUCUUCGGCAACAAUCUUUGAACAAGAAGAAGAACUACAGAAACUUAAAUCAGCACUGUGUUCAUGGGGCUGCUUUCAGGCAAUAGGACAUGGCAUUUCAACUUCAUUUCUAGACGAGAUACGUCAAGUAACAAGGGAUUUCUUCCAGCAGCCAAUGGAAGAGAAGAAUAAGGUUGCUAAAGGAGUUAAAGACUUUGAAGGGUAUGGAGCUGAUCCUGUCCCAGAAGAAGGUCAGUCUCUUGACUGGUCUGAUCGCUUGUUUGUUAAUGUGUACCCAGAAGAUACAAGGAAGAGCAAAUUUUGGCCAGAAAGCCCAGCAGCCUUCAGGUACUUGCAAUUGUGCAGAGAUGUUCUAGAAGAAUACACAGUCAAGAUGAAGACAUUCACAGAGAUUGUUUCCAAAGCCAUGGCAAAAUCAUUGAGUUUAGAAGAAAAUUGCUUCCUGAAUCAGUUUGGUGAAAGAGGACUUCUGAAAACACGUUUCAACUACUACUCAUGUUGUGAAAGGCCUGAUCUUGUUUUAGGCCUAAAGCCCCAUGCAGAUAAUUCAGGAUACACCAUCAUUUUGCAAGAUGAUGUAGAAGGCCUUCAAGUCCACAAAGAUGGGAAGUGGUUUACCGUUCCCACAAUCUCUCAUGCUCUCCUUGUUCUCAUGGGUGAUCAAAUGGAGAUAAUGACUAAUGGAAUGUACAAGAGCCCUGUACAUAGGGUACUGACCAACACUGAGAGGGAGAGGAUUUCUGUGGCUAUGUUCUAUCACCCUGAACCGAAAAAAGAGAUUGGACCUGAAGAAGGAUUGGUCAACCAGGAAAGGCCAAAGUUAUUCAAGAAGGUGAAAGGCUAUGCUAAUACACACUGGGAAUAUUACCGGCGAGGAAUGAGAGCUCUUCAUGUGGCAAAAGUCUAGAAUUGUACUAUCUUAGUCUUGCGUGCUUUAUGAACAGAUAAGGCAUUUCACCUAUGUUACUUCAGUGUAUUUGUUUUGUGCAGAUAUCAGGUUACAGGUAACUAAGGAAUUGAAUCCUAGGCACCAAACGAAGGGAGUAUUAUUUCCAUGUAUCAAAAGGGGAGCUACUAUGAACUUGGCCAGUGGGCUGUGGGACUUACAAGAGUGUGUUUGGUAGGGUGGAAAGUAAGAUUGAUAGAAAAUGGUAGAGAGAAAAUACAAGAAGGCCACCAUGUGUGGCGAAGAAAGGAGCAAACACGAGCGACUCAACUGCCAUGAGCUUAAUAAGGAUGUUGAGUGAUGGGCCGGAGGUGUCCUUGAGUGGGUCACCAAUGGUGUCACCAAUCACAGCUGAAACUAACAAAAAUGCUAACUGCAAUGGCAAAGAUUGGAAUGAUGACAGAUUUGUAUCCUAGAGCAAGGCCAAAUAUAACAUUAGUGGCAGCUCCAGUCCUGCAGGAAUCGGCAACAUCUUGCACGGGGCUGCAAUAAGGAACUUUGUGGGUAAGUAUAUGCAAGUAAUAAGCAAAAAGAAAGAAUCAUUGUCAUGUUAAUAAUUUUAAUACCUGUAGGCAUUGCUAGUAUAGUACUCUGUAACAAACCCAAUAACAAGUCCAGCCCAAAGACCAACACCCACGCACAAGAAGAGCUCCCUGUUAGCAUGUUGGAUGUCAGCAGUUGCAUAUCAAUAAUGAGAUGUUCAUUAUUUCAUA